rnacentral:rRNA from 1 species
GACGAACGCUGGCGGCGUGCUUAACACAUGCAAGUCGAACGGAAAGGCCCUGCUUUGGUGGGGUGCUCGAGUGGCGAAGGGGGGAGUAACACGGGAGUAACUUGCCCUUGACUUUGGGAUAACUUCAGGAAACUGGGGCUAAUACCGGAUAGGAGCUCCUGCGGCAGGGUGGGGGUUGGAAAGUUUCGGCGGUUGGGGAUGGACUCGCGGCUUAUCAGCUUGUGGGUGGGGUAGUGGCUUACCAAGGCUUUGACGGGUAGCCGGCCUGAGAGGGUGACCGGCCACAUUGGGACUGAGAUACGGCCCAGACUCCUACGGGAGGCAGCAGUGGGGAAUAUUGCACAAUGGGCGGAAGCCUGAUGCAGCAACGCCGCGUGCGGGAUGACGGCCUUCGGGUUGUAAACCGCUUUCGCCUGUGACGAAGCGUGAGUGACGGUAAUGGGUAAAGAAGCACCGGCUAACUACGUG